AGUGGGCAGGGUUGGUGGAGCGUGAGUGAUCUGAACUUCUUGCGCUCUUCUUGUGAACCCUUUUUAGAAAUAAUGUUACUUUAUUAAAAAUUACUGAGUAAUAAUAAAAAACACAACAGGCCUUCAGGCGUUUUUAUGGGACUGUCCGCUUAGCAGAUGAACUCAUUUUUUUCUGCCUUAGAUUGCUGCUGUUUAAUGAAAAAACUUGUGUGGUUCGCUCCUGCUUUUCUCUCACCGCUGAGUUUCUGAAAGCAGGUAAGCCACUGACUAACGCACACUGCGCCUGUUCUCCGCUCCACUGUGCGUGUGACAGCGGCUAACCAGCUUUUGGAUGCCCCUCUCUUGACCUCAGCUUCACUUCAGAACUGUAGAAACCCCCAACUGGAGACUUUGUUACACUGCAUCUCACCGGAAGCUUCUUCUCCUUCACUGUAUUUUUUUUUUUUUUUUUAACUCCGCUCGCGGUUCCAGUUGUAGAGCGUGUACGUGCUCCAGGUCACAUGUACACCAUCACCAUUAUGAAUGUGUCAUCUACACGCCUCUGAACUAUUUCACCAUCUCAAAUAUGGCAGUAAUGUGUACAUGUUAGUCUAAUAGGACAAAUAUACUCCACAAACCAGAGUAACAGACCUAAAAUACAGUACAAUGUAAUUAUCUAUUCUACAUGUGUGCAGGCUUCUUCACGGUCUGUUACAUCAGAAAUAUUACAUAAUAAUAAUAAUAUGACGUAUAGAAGCGCAUAACCUUUUGACCACAUUUGUCUUUUGGGUGUAUACCAUACCAGCACACUUCACUACAGCCUAGAUAUGGCCAUACAGUGAUAUAACCUGUAUCGGACCAAACCUCAUUAAAGGAAUAAAGACUGCAUGUUUAAUAUGCCUUAUUGCAGUAGUAUUGCGUAAAUUUAGCAACUUUUACUAUAGUGGUGCAGUUUGUAUGACCAAACCUCGUGAAUUCAAUAUAGACGGAAUGUGACUAUAUAUUAUUACAGCAGUCUGGCCUAUAGAUUUACAAGUAUAGCCGAGAUGUCAUUAUGCUUUAUUGAGGAAGUACAGUUGCAUAGUGUGGAUGUUUCAAUACAGCAUUGUACACAUGAUGCGACUCUACCUUACUCCAGUAAUAUGGUAUAAACUUGAUCAUACUUUGCUACAGUAGAGGCGAACGUACUUUACUGCAGCAGCUUUGUGUACGUGUAGCCGUACCUGAUGACAGUAUUGCUAUGGUAGUAUUGGCUGGAUGAGAUCAUACUUUAUGUAUAUGUAUGUAUAUAUAUGUAUGUAUAUAUGUGUGUGUAAUAAUAUAAUAGUGUAGCUUAUAUAUGGCCAUAUUUCUUCUACUUCUGUUAGAGUUUACAUGUAACCAAACACUUUUGGCCAUUCAUGCGUACAGUUACGGCAAGAAUACAAAAGUGUAGCCUACUUGUGAAAAUGUAGUUAUAGUGGAAUAACCUGUAGGUCGGUGAUCAUUUAUUGGCAUAGUUUUAAUGUACAGCUUGCAUUUAGCCAUAAUUUAUUAAACUUGUCUGUGCCUUUGUGACAAUAUAUUAUAGUCAUACAUUCUUACAGUAUAAUGCCAAUGUGUGAGCAUUCAUUAUUAGAGUUGUAUUGUUUAUAAGUGACCCUAAAUCAUUAAUCUAGUGUAGGCUACAUCUGACUAUAUAUGAUUACAGUAGCAUAGUUAUAAUAGUCUGUAUAUGACCGUACUUUGGCUUUGUUCCACAGCUGUAUUGUGCAAUAAGAAAAGAAUGUGAGGAGUUUAAGCAUUGGUAAGUCAAGUCAUUGUCAUUAAGUUAGAGUAUAAGCAGUUAUGAGUCUUAAAUUAGUACAGCCUAAUUGUUGCUAUAAAGUAAUUAUCACUAUUACUGUAGUAGAUCCUACCUGUAAUUGUUAAUUUAAAUGAAUUAUUGUACUAUAAUCUACUGUUGGCCUUAAAUUACAUUUGUCUGUAACUGUACUAUAACUUUACUGUGGUUGUAAAAUAUUUGUAGUUUGUAAUACAGAAGUUAUGUUGAUACGAGUAUGAAGAGUUACAUCAUUUUAAGAGAUUAUCUGUUAUGCCACUGUAUAAUAAACAUGAAUUAAAAGUUUAUCACCUUUUUGUUUUUGUUUUUUUACUUUCUUUUUCUCUCACCGUUGUGCCAGUCUGAUUAUCAGUACUAAGGCUAAUAUUGACUUGAAGUUUUUUUUAUAAUCUAGUAACAUACCUUUUAAUCCUGUGAGCAAGUCUUAUUGACUGCCUUAACACGCUUCAUAAACAUGACCACUAUCACACCUGUUUUUUGUUUUUUUGACCUUUAAACAUGAACACAAGCAUUCUAUCAGGUUCUAUUUUUCUGUCCAUUGUUUGCAGCACGUUGCAUUUACUUCUCUCUCAUGACAUCCAUGUGGAAGUGAAGCUUUUGCCGAGGCAGCUGGGCGUGUAUAACUAGCACCAGGGUUUAUUCCAUGAGAAGUGCACAAAAGGGAACGUGUGAUAAGAUAAACUCUGCUGAACUGUUGACCUUCCUGUGUAGCAAUACCUCACAGACGUCUGACAAAGUUUUCAUCCAUCUUUCCUCAUGUCUCCUGUUUUUCCGCUUUAUAUUCGCUGUCUCCUGUGUAGACAGUAUGACCUGUGUUUGUUGGCAGGCACGGCUGACGGAUGCUGUUAAUCAUAGAUGCAUGGGUUUGAGGUGCAGCUUCCUUUAGCCAUCAGAUGGUUCCCUGAUGCUAUCACUCUAAUCAAAAAUAUGUGCACCAGCCCAGACAAUGUGAUGAUUACAUCACUGCGGGUUUGAGAUUGGUUAAUAAAGGAUUAUGAUUCACUGAACAAAAUGCUCAUCUAUAUUUGUCACAUAUUCAUGAACAAACUGAAAGGGAGAGGUUUUGCUGGGUAACAAAUUAUGUUACAGUAACAGGUUAUUGUUAAUUAGGGAAUAGUAAGAGAAUUUCAUGUGCUGCUAAUUGUAUUAUCUUACCAUCAUCAACAGACUAGAUAUGAUGCACAGUUGUGAGGUAUGAGCUCAUACUGAAAGUACACUUUCCCAGCUGAACAGGAUGUUUUCUUUUGCCUUAGAGGAAAUCUUUUUAUAAUCUGCUACACUGACACUUGUUGAAAUCAUACCAGCAAUGAGUUACAUCUGCUUCGAAUGUGGUUGAGAAAAUAAUCAGAUGUAUCACAACCUGAAGAACACUUAAACACAGAGCCACUGUAUAUAAACACAAAGCACUGUCUUUAUUAGACUUAAAUACAUGAACAAAAGUAAUAGUUCUCUAGAUAGACUUUUUCUGGUGAUAUUUUACAGUAAAUAAAUGUUUUGGAAUGUAACAAAAUGUAAACAUAUAUUUGUAUAUACAGCAGAUAUAUAAUAUAUUGUUACAUUGAUGAGAUGAGUAGGACCAUGAGAGCAGUGGAUGGUUAAGUACAUGGGUGUAAUAAGAGAGCGAUCCUUGGCCCUCUGGGUUUUACCUCCAAGAUGACUCCUUGGAUGUCAGGACUGUAAGACACACAAGAAUAUGAUAUAGAGUGAUGUGCUCAGUGUUUUCAAGUUAGGAAGUUAGGAGAAAUAAUGUCCAUGCAUUGUGAGCCAUCCUGGCUUAGCCCAUGCCACUGAGAAGCUUGGAAACACACAGAAACCAGAGGAGAAAGGCACCCAACACCCAAAAAGGAAGCCAUGUUUUUUUUUAAUAAAAAAUCAAAAAAAAUCUUCAUAUUACAUGAUCAUUAUUUAUAGCUUAUAUUGACAAAUAAGCAAUCCAGAUUUGAGUUCUUUGGAUCAGUAAUUCAGCAGGCUUUGAUUGGUAACUCCCACAGGCAGUGUUUUAAAUAAGAGAAUAACAGAGUAAUGAGUGAGUUCACUGAUCACUCCCUCUGGUGCAUUUUCCAUUCAAGGGAGCUGAGUGAGUCAGUUAUUUCAGUGUUUAAGCAUAAUUCUCGUUAGACUGGCUCGAAAAAUUAGGAACUUUUGCUUAAUAACUUGCAUCUUUACAAUUAAAGGAAAAUAAAUUUUUAAUAUUAGUGAGUCAGUCUGUAAUUAUUGAUUUUGACAGCAGCCAGGGUUGAAUACAUAGCAAAACUCAUUUCACAACUUUAGAUCACUAAAUAGUUCAGCAUACAGGCACAUUCAUGCUUCCCUAACUCCGGAUUAAUACUGCAUCAAAUGCAAAACAAUAAUGGCAUUUGAAUACUAAUAUUAUCAUUACAUCAUUAUUAUUAUCAGGCACACUGUCUUAUGUUGAUUAAACAACUGUUUCAGAGACUAGUGCUGUCAGUGGCAUUGUAAUGAGUAGUCAUGUCACACAGCGGAUCGCGUGCAUGCACAUGAUUUGAAAGAUCAAUUCACCUAAAGUUCGCUGUUGAUUCUCCACUGUUUACCUCAACCAAGAGAUGUGAACACACACACUGAGAUAAUCAAUAAAACAGAGCACAGGAUCCUAAAAUAAAGGGGUGAAAAAAGGCGACAGAGCAAGUCUUUGCAAAAUCAGAAAGGUGUAAAGACAAAAGUAGAAAUAACACUUUAGUUUAUUAUAAAAAUUAGAGCCAUGAAAACAACCGAGUUUUCUGCUGUGUCUGCACAAACACUGUACCCAUUGAAAACUCAAUGACAUACAAUAAUGUGAUGAAACAGCAGCGUAGUCAGUCAUUACCAAUGGCAUUAGCUACAUUUCUCCCAUGCAGCUUUAGAAAAUGCUGCUCAGAUCAGGCUCUCGGCCCUUAAACUAAAGUGUUCAGAAGGACAAAGUCAACACUUUAUGUGAAAGGCACCAGAAAGGACUUUACAACAUUCACAAAAAUGGAAUGUUGUUUUGAUUGAUUAAUUUGGCAGAUGACUGAUUGAAUGAGAUCUGUCAUCGAACUGCACAUGCAUUAAAGCUCUACUCCUUUGACUUUAAAGAUGUUUAUACCCAAGUCUGGCAUAAAGACCAGACGAG